rnacentral:rRNA from 1 species
AGUGAACGCUGGCGGUAGGCCUAACACAUGCAAGUCGAACGGCAGCACAGUAAGAGCUUGCUCUUACGGGUGGCGAGUGGCGGACGGGUGAGGAAUACAUCGGAAUCUACUUUUUCGUGGGGGAUAACGUAGGGAAACUUACGCUAAUACCGCAUACGACCUACGGGUGAAAGCAGGGGAUCUUCGGACCUUGCGCGAUUGAAUGAGCCGAUGUCGGAUUAGCUAGUGGGCGGGGUAAAGGCCCACCAAGGCGACGAUCCGUAGCUGGUCUGAGAGGAUGGGAGGCCCCAGUGGAAAUGGGACACGGACGAGACUAGUACGGGAGGCAGCAGGAGGGAAUGGUACGGAAUGGGGGGAAGCGUGACGGAGCAUUGCCGCGGGAGUGAUGAAGGUCUUCGGAUCGUAAAACUCGGUUAGUAGGGAAGAAAAAAUGUGGAAGUAAAUAUGCACGGAUGGACGGUACCUAAUCAGAAAGCCACGGCUAACUACGUG